rnacentral:tmRNA from 1 species
GGGGGCGACUGGUUUCGACAUAUAUGUUCUGAGUGAGGAAGCAUGCGGUGGUCUCCUCGCCACCUUAAACAGGGGUACUGUCAAAAAUAAUUGACAAUCGUAGCUAUGCCCUCGCCGCCUGAUACAGGCCGCGACGUCGACCCGGGAUUAUUCCCCGCUCCCGGUAAGACGCCACUGAGGGGAAUGCUCCUGUGUACGUAGUCGGUAUGACGCAGGAAAAGAGAGAACCGGCUGGCAAUGAGCGCAUCUGUCUGAUGGGGCGCUCAGCGCGAGACUUUUCGUCAGACUGAGCAUGGAGACGCCUUGCAAUGAGCAUGUAUGGACCGGAGUUCGAUUCUCCGCGCCUCCACCA